rnacentral:rRNA from 1 species
UACGUAGGGUGCAAGCGUUGUCCGGAAUUAUUGGGCGUAAAGAGCUCGUAGGCGGUUUGUCGCGUCUGCUGUGAACACCGAGGCUCAACCUCGGGCCUGCAGUGGGUACGGGCAGACUAGAGUGCGGUAGGGGAGACUGGAAUUCCUGGUGUAGCGGUGAAAUGCGCAGAUAUCAGGAGGAACACCGGUGGCGAAGGCGGGUCUCUGGGCCGUAAC